GGGUCAAUGAUGCGAACUUUAUAUUGUCUGAAGAUAAGUGAUGUCUUAAAUACCAUGCACAAUAGUAUUACGCUGAGGUCC
rnacentral:snoRNA from 1 species